CAGAGUGUAGCUAAGAUAGGAAAGCACCUCCCUUACACCGAGAAGACAUCCGUGCAAAUCGGGUCACCCUGA
rnacentral:tRNA from 1 species